rnacentral:RNase_P_RNA from 1 species
AGAGUCGAUCGGACAGUCGCUGCCGCAUUUCGUUCUGCGAAAGGCGGGGGAGGAAAGUCCGGGCUCCAUAGGGCGGAGUGCCAGGUAACGCCUGGGAGGCGUGAGCCUACGGAAAGUGCCACAGAAAAUAACCGCCUAAGCGCUUCGGUGCCGGUAAGGGUGAAAAGGUGCGGUAAGAGCGCAC